rnacentral:lncRNA from 1 species
AGACCCGGGCUUGGGCCCCGCGGCGCUGCGCCUCCAACCCGGAAGAACAGCCCCAACUCCGCGGCGGCGGGCGGCCACGUGACUGCAGCUCCGCUCCCACCUCGGCCCGCGCCCCUUCCCCGCCCCAGCUUUCUUCCCGCCAGGCCCCCUCCACCCGAUCGCCGCGCGCUCUCCGAACCAAAAGGCGACCUCACGAAAUGCCCCUUUGAGCUCAAAGGCUAGUUACCCCCAGGGGCCCUUCCACUCUCGGGGACAGGCGAAACCUCUUUGUCUCUGCCUCGGCCUGCGGCCCCCAGCCCAGCCUCCGCGCUUUCCCUCCGCCAGUCCUUGUCAAUCAAACCUGGUGCCAAACGCGGCAGCUGAAGUUUUCAGGGACACAUUUGCUUCUCCCCUUGAAGAACCAGUUACAAAGCGUGAUGUCCUCUCUGGGGUCCCAUCAGAACAAAGAAACAGGUCUAAAGACCCUCAUUCCAGAGAGCAUCCUGCCCCAUAUCCAGAAUGAAAUCCAUGCUCAGAGAUGCCAAGAAGAAUCUAGACAGACAGGCCUUUCUAGAGUCAAGAAAAUUGUUUUUUUCUUUUGAGCUGUACAUAGCUUACAGUAAUUAGAUAAAUUACACUUUUGUGAGAACAAUUGAAACACUAACCUUUCUCUCUACCUGAUGUCUCCAGAAUUUGGAAAGUAUUUGUGAGUAUUCUUCACUUUUGGCAAUAUAGUUAUUUGUACAAAUUCGAUAGGAAUCUGUUUUCUUUUGUAACAGAACACAGUUGGAUACACUGAUUAUUUUGCCAAGGCUUUCAUUGGAAUGGCAUAAUUUUUUAAUGACCAGACUGCUUUGAGGAUUUGAAGUUGACUUUAUAGAGCCUAUAAAAAGCCUGUUGGAAAAAUUAGCCUGAUACCUUGUCUACACAGUUUCCUUACAAGGUUCCUGACCUUGCGGUAGUAAAGAAUGUCACUCUCUGGCAGGCCCAGGAGCCUCAGGAUAUUUUGGGAACCUUGACAAGAGAGGAGUGUAUCCAAUUUAUACAGGAAUUACAAGUGCAGUCUGAUUGUGAAUCCUUGUCUUGGCUUCUUAGCCUUGAGAGUUUUUAAAAGUUGAAUGUGAAAUUCCUUAUGAAAAAGUUCCAACAAAGCCAAACUUUAAAAGAGCCUAUAUGUGGUCAAUCACUAUUUUUGCUGUACUUUAUGCAAAUAAUCAGGCCAAAUAUAAUAAAACUAAAACUUAUUUUGCAAAUAAAUUGGUCCUGUUAUGAUUUGCCUUUAAUAGAAAAGGGGGACUGGAGAGAGAAGAAUUAUGUUUCAGAAGAAAAUGAUAGCAUACCUGUUGUUAGAUUCUAGCUUUGUCCAUUGUUUUUAAGUUGUAAUUAUUUGCCUACAUUUGAACUAAAUCUUGAAUUCUUUCCUGGCUACAAGUCUCCAAGCUAACAUUUAAAUUUUUUUCUCCUAUGUUUCUGACUUGGAAUAAGUAGAAGUUAAAACUAUGCUUUUCUUGAAGCCCUGCAGACUGGAGCAAGACAACUUGAAUAAACUAUGGGAAAAAUCACUACAGCAACUUAUAUAUAAACAGCUUUUAUGCUUUGUUGAUGUAUGGAAUACUCAGAAAGUUCACUGCAACACCUGAUUUAAACUACAACCAGGAGACUCUGUCAGAUUAACACUACAAUCUGAAGAACUACAGAGACUCUCAAAAAACUAGUGUAUAGUCUACAGUAGAUAUUAACCUUUGUUUUUCUUCUGUUUUCAUAGAAACACCUUUUAUUAAAAAUCUGUUUGCCGCUUCAUAUAUAGAGUCCUAGUCCAUCUGUAAUGCCACCCCCUGGAAUGAGACAUAGCUGUUUAACUGAACUGAUCUAUUCUCGGGACUAAGAGACUG